rnacentral:lncRNA from 1 species
CUGUAAAGAGGUGAAGUGUGGACCUGAUGAAGCCAUUUCUGCUGCCAAGAGAGAAGCGAACCUGAAGACAAUUUCAAUAUACAGAGGUCGGGAGAACGAAAAAUUGCAAUAAAACAGGACUGGGGCUCUGCUGACGCCACACAUUUCUGGAUCAUUCUGUGCCUGAACAUACCCGUGGACUGGUUAAUUAUUUGAACCAGUAAAUUAUCUUUUUUGAUUAGGCCAGAAUGGGCUGAGACUUCUGUUGCUUGCAACCAAAAGGGCCCUAAAAGAUACACUCCCCCGAAACCGCAAAGGAAGGCUGCCUGUCGCAAGAAGCAAGAGGAUGGGUUUCUGUUCCUUUUCACCAAAAACAAAACAAAAACACCUCUAACCCUGCUGGUCUAUCCCACUGGUCUGAGAGCUUCUGGGGACAUCGCCACUGUGUGCCUUGGCCUUUCUGAAUAACGCAUGGCUGUGACGUCGCGCCAUCGUGACCUCCCCGUCCUACACACCCGGGUCGCAGCAUUGGAAACACUUCUCUGCAGCAGCAGCACCACAGUGGACAUGGUUAUAGGGUGGCUUGGUGAGAGCAGGGCUGCGCUGCCCCUUCUGUCACCCCCACCCUGUGCCUGGAACAGCACUUGGGCACAGAGCCAGGACCCAUCAGAUUCAGCGACCUGACCCCAUCUUCCUGGGAAAACACUUGUUCGUUCCUGCAGGAAUGGCAGCUGGUGCCCUUCCAGUCAGAAUCAGCUUCUCUUUUCCUGUUGAAGCCACCAUCACUGCUCCCUUGUCCUAAGGCAGCUCAACUAAGGAGGUGCCCACUCGGCCUUCCCUGCUCCAGCCUCAAGAUGCCUUCCUCAGGCUCCACAUUUUCCCUCCAUACUUUGCACCUGUUCAGGGCACAGCCCUCAUCAUGCCCCUCAGGACUCCACUUGAGGCCUCUUACUUCAGGGAGAGACCAAGAAGAGGGGCCUGAAGCACUUCCUGCAGAAAGGAGACCCAGCCCCUGCCAGAGGCCUGUGUGGCUUCUUAUCUCCUUAGACCGGAGCAGUUGGAGGCUGGGUCAGAAAGGCAGAAAGGAACAGAAACCAACAAUGGGCAGGAAUGUCCUCCAGCUACAACCUAUAGGCGCAGCUACAGCCAACAGAUGGAGUUUCACUGUCUGUCGGCCAGGCUGGAGUGCAGUGGCGCAAUCUCGGCUCACCACAACCUCCACCUCCCAGGUUCAAGCAAUUCUCAUGCCUCAGCCUCCCAAGUAGUUGGGAUUACAGGCACCCGCUAGCAUGCCCAGCUAAUUUUGGUAUUUUUAGUAGAGACGGGGUUUCACCAUGUUGGCCAGGCUGGUCUAGAACUCCUGACCUCAGGUGAUCCACCCGUCUCGGCCUCCCAAAGUGCUGGGAUUACAGGCGUGAGCCACCACUCCUGGCCUAGGAUGCAAAUUUUAGGUUAUGUGUAUUUUACCACAAAUGAAAAAAGAAAAAGAUUCACAAUUCCAGUCAGGAGAAAGGCACUGUCUUCUAUACUGCUCAGAGGAGAUGUCAGCAUGACAUCUUGGGAGACCUAUUGUCAGUGUGCAUUAAAAUUUAAAUAUGCUAGGCCGGGCGCGGUGGCUCACGCCUGUAAUCGCAGCACUUUGGGAGGCCUAGGCGGGAGGAUCACCUGAGGCCAGGAGUUUGAGACCAGCCUGGCCAACAUUGUGAAACCCCGUCUCUACUAAAAAUACAAAAAUUAGCUGGAAAUGCUGGCAGGUGCCUGUAAUCCCAGCUACUCGGGAGGCUGAGGUGGGAGGAUCACUUGAACCCCGGGAGGUUGAGGCUGCAGUGAGCAGAGAUCGUGCCACUGCACUCCAGCCUGGGCAACAGAGCAAGACUAGCACUAGAGCUACCAGAGGAGUCCCAAUACCUGCUUGGACAACGUGGAUAAAGCUGUGACAUCUGGAACAGCUGUAGCCUUUUCACUGCUAUGGAGGAAGACUUGGAGGCUCCAGACAGCAGAGGCUGAGCACAGGGAGAAACCAUAUCUUGGUGACAUGAUUUGCACCCGUGGAUAAACUUUGCCAGCAACUACUUGAUCAACUUCCAGAUUUUUCAAUUACAUGAACCAAAAAUCCUGCCCCUGCUUUUCUCUUUGAGACAGAGUCUCACUAUGUUGCCCAGGCUGACCUCGAACUCCUGGGCUCAAGCGAAAAUUCCCUUUCCUAUAGGUCAGUUUGCAUCGAGUUCUCUCUGCUUUGUAACAUAAAAAUGUCGGACAACACUUUCUUUUGCAAUCAGAAUUUAACUAAUUAACACAAAAACAAUAAAUACAUUCCCCAAGGUCAAAUCUUCUCUUACCAGCUUUAAGAAAGCCUGCAAGUUAUUUUUAGUUCUUCCUUUGCCCUCAGAUGUUUCUGGCUUUUGAAUAAAAUAUGCAAGUGCCGUGUUGAGCGAAUUCUCACAUUAAGCUUGUCCUGAAUGGGGUUAAGAUAUCAGGACUACUUGAAAUUAGAAAAUAUUUUUGAGCCCCCACUAUGGACAAAGCCCCAUCAAGGGUGUGAUAAGAGCCGAAGAUAUCAUUAGAUGCAAUUUCUGCUCCAGGGGUCAAUGAGGAACAAACCUGCCUUCAUGAACAGCACCCACUUAGGAGGGAAGCUCCUGGAAGCCAAGCCCACUAUCUGGCUGGUUUACUGCUGUAUCUCCAGUGCCUAGAUUAGUGCCUGGCACAUUGCCAAGUAUAUAUUUUUAUAAUUGAAUAAAAAUAAUAGAAGU